ACACUCCUGCGGGAGGCAGCAGUGGGGAAUAUUGCACAAUGGGCGCAAGCCUGAUGCAGCCAUGCCGCGUGUAUGAAGAAGGCCUUCGGGUUGUAAAGUACUUUCAGCGGGGAGGAAGGCGAUAAGGUUAAUAACCUUGUUGAUUGACGUUACCCGCAGAAGAAGCACCGGCUAACUCCGUGCCAGCAGCCGCGGUAAUACGGAGGGUGCAAGCGUUAAUCGGAAUUACUGGGCGUAAAGCGCACGCAGGCGGUCUGUCAAGUCGGAUGUGAAAUCCCCGGGCUCAACCUGGGAACUGCAUUCGAAACUGGCAGGCUAGAGUCUUGUAGAGGGGGGUAGAAUUCCAGGUGUAGCGGUGAAAUGCGUAGAGAUCUGGAGGAAUACCGGUGGCGAAGGCGGCCCCCUGGACAAAGACUGACGCUCAGGUGCGAAAGCAUGGGGAGCAAACAGGAUUAGAAACCCCAGUAGUCCCAUG
rnacentral:rRNA from 1 species